ACGAUUAUAUUGUUUCAUACUGUAAAUAGCUAUAAUGAAGUAGGUUGAGACUGAGCUAUAAAAAUGAUUUGAAUGUUUGUUUAUUAAGUUUAGUUUAAAAACAAAUAGGAAAAAAGUAGUGAAAACAUCAUUAUAAACAUGUUCACUGUGCAGUUUCUCUUUCUUAAAUGAGAAUAUAUUACUUCUCUUUGUUAAUGCAUUACUGUUAUUCUUCUUGGAAGAUUUGUUUUUUUAAUUAUUUCUGAAUUUUAUUAAAGAAAUCUUCACGAAGAAUAUAUUUAAUAAUGGAAUGAAUUUUAUCAGAAGGUAAACUUAGUCACUUCCUUGCGGCGUAUAUUCAUGUUGUUUUACGACCUCCCCGGACGUCCGUUUGUGAGGUCGUUGCACCACUUCCCUCUCUGCGCAGUCAGUCAUAAAGUGUUAUGUGCUUGAAGAAUAGAAGAGCACGUGUUACGGACAAUCCUGGUGAUCCAUAAUUCAAAAACCAGUAAUAAGUUGUUGGAAGUGAAUGAGAUUUCUUAAGUUGUUUAAAUCGGCAUGAUAAUGGUAGGUCAUGAUAUGGAUUUCUGUGCGCUAAAAGUAUAAUUUUUCUCAUAUAUUAUAGUUAGUCAGAAAGCAAUAAUUUAAAUUGAUCAUGCAGAUUAAACAAUACCCUUCUUCUAUAAAUAAUUAAAGAUUUAGUUUUAUGUUCAAAAUAAAAUAAUUAGAGAGGUAGAUAGCAUUUUUAUCCAUUAAGUCAUAGAGUUGUUAUUGCAACCCCCUUGGAAACACGUAAUUGACAACUGGAUCAUUUAGUUAUUGUCAAUAGGUUGAAUGCCCUUGGGUUAUAGGCCCUAUAUUUUUCUAGUGGGAUUUGAGUGUGACAAGUAAAAUUGCUAUCCUAGUUAAGGUUUUACAUAACAAGAUUUAUUAUUUACUGUUCUGAAUUUUAUAAUUUAUUAAAUUAUCUUCUUUUGCAUAUGGCAAAAAGAGUUAUAUACAAUUUAUUUUGUGGUUGUAUAUUUGUCUAAUCCAGAGAUUUAUUUCCGUUUUGGAUUAUCUACUGCUCCUCUUAUUGUUUGAGAUGUCUUCAAAUAAUGGAUCAAGAACUAAAAUAUGCAUAUUUGUAAAUAUUUGUGAAUUACAUUAUAUUUCAAAUGGAUUUGAAAUUCAAAAGUAAAAUGCCGACUAAUGAAAAUGGUGAAGAUGCUUGUUCUCGCAAGAGAAGUUCUCACAAUAGAAAAAGAAGCCUAACUUUAUCUUUACCAAUUACUCUUUCAUGUUUGAUGAAUUUGAAGGUAAGUAAGCGAUUUAAUGAAUCUAGUUGCCAUUAUAAGUUCAAAAUGAGAAUAGUAUACUAUGCUUGUUUAAAUUCUGAAAAUGAAAAAUCAGACAGUCAAUUAAUAGUAAACAAUUGCAACC
rnacentral:lncRNA from 1 species